AGAGUUUGAUCAUGGCUCAGGAUGAACGCUGGCGGCGUGCUUAACACAUGCAAGUCGAACGAUGAAGCCCAGCUUGCUGGGUGGAUUAGUGGCGAACGGGUGAGUAACACGUGAGUAACCUGCCCUUGACUCUGGGAUAAGCGCUGGAAACGGCGUCUAAUACCGGAUACGAGCUUCCACCGCAUGGUGAGUUGCUGGAAAGAAUUUCGGUCAAGGAUGGACUCGCGGCCUAUCAGGUAGUUGGUGAGGUAACGGCUCACCAAGCCGACGACGGGUAGCCGGCCUGAGAGGGUGACCGGCCACACUGGGACUGAGACACGGCCCAGACUCCUACGGGAGGCAGCAGUGGGGAAUAUUGCACAAUGGGCGCAAGCCUGAUGCAGCAACGCCGCGUGAGGGACGAAGGCCUUCGGGUCGUAAACCUCUUUUAGCAGGGAAGAAGCGAAAGUGACGGUACCUGCAGAAAAAGCACCGGCUAACUACGUGCCAGCAGCCGCGGUAAUACGUAGGGUGCGAGCGUUAUCCGGAAUUAUUGGGCGUAAAGAGCUCGUAGGCGGUUUGUCACGUCUGCUGUGAAAACUGGAGGCUCAACCUUCAGCCUGCAGUGGGUACGGGCAGACUAGAGUGCGGUAGGGGAGAUUGGAAUUCCUGGUGUAGCGGUGGAAUGCGCAGAUAUCAGGAGGAACACCGAUGGCGAAGGCAGAUCUCUGGGCCGUUACUGACGCUGAGGAGCGAAAGCGUGGGGAGCGAACAGGAUUAGAUACCCCGGUAGUCC
rnacentral:rRNA from 1 species